CAGAGUGCUGCUGCUGAUCUAGGCCUAGUGAUUCUUCCUGCCUCUCUUUAAAUGUAAAGCUGCCUCUGCUGCACCUGUGACGUUUGCCGCCUGCCGUGCAAUGCCAGUGCGCACUGGGCAUCAAAAGCGCAGAUAGAGGCAAAACAAUGUCACAAAAAAGGACAUAUCCUUCAGGUGCAGAAAAAAGGAAGAAGAAGAAAGUGGAAGAGGAGAAAAAAUGCCAUGAUAAAGGUAUGUUUGCAUGACUUGGUAAUAAAAAGUUUAUCAAAGAGAUUUGUAGCUGUAAUUAGCUUUAGCUAGGUGACGUUAGCUAGCUAGCGCGGUGCUAGCAAUAUGUUUUUAGCAUCAGGUUACUAGUGAGAUAUGUUGUUUGCACAAAUUGUUUGCAGCAGAGCACGGUAAUUUAUGUGAGUAAAAUAAACAUUAUUUUUUACAUCAACUCAUAAGUUAUGUGAAACUUCCCCAGGAGCAUUGUUAAAAUACUUUGGAGGCACAGAAUCAGCCCAGAGCCAGUCCACAUCCUCAGGCUCAACUGUGAGUGAUGAAUCAGGUCCAUCUCCAUCCUCUACAGUGCUCUCUCACACACCUCCAUCCUCUGUGCCCACUGUCCCCUCCAUGUCUGAAACCACAGCUGAUUUAUCUACAACUUCCACCACAACGUCCCCUUCACACCAUGGACCAUCAUCAGCUCCGCCAGUUGACCCAGCUGAGUGGCCUUCUUUCCUCUCAGAUUCAGACAGGACUGAGCAGGUGAUCAGAGGACCACUGUCUAUUAAGGAGAACUUUUCAUUCCCCAAACGGCAUGAUGGCCGAAGUUUUCAUUAUCAUUAUACCUACAGACAGCUAGUCAAUGGGGAAAAAGUCAAG